UCUUGUAUCCCAGCACCAGAUAGCAGAGGUUGCUCUGACGAUAUUUACAAGUAACCCAUCCACUGCAGCGGCUUCUGGAACACACAGCGGCCAGGCCUUCCUGCUGAUCGCAGGCAAGCAGAGUUCCUGGGGAUGAGGCAUCAGGAGCCCUCACAAGACCAAGGGUUCCCAGACUGCCCUUUGAGAAUAAAAUAGGAGGCCAGAACCAAAGUCUUUUGGAUAAAACACCGCGACUGACCACACACUAACCCAUUUGGCUGCCCUCCUUCCCAAGGCACAGAUCAUCCCAGCAUGUGAAGGCCUCCUUCUCUCCCUCCCUCCUUCCCUUCUGACCCAUUUUCACUCUUCCACCACACAAUCAAAAAUAAAUAAAUAAAUGAAAAAAAAGCUCUCUUCAUCUAUGGUCUACUUAUACCUGUUUUUUUCUUCUUCCCUGACAGACAAUAUUUGAAAGUGUCUUUUGCAUUCUCCACGGAGUCUUCAAGUGCUGCAACACUGAGGGAAGGGCCGUGCCUAGUAGCUGUGUGUCACUAUGGACUCUGUGGUAUAGGAGAUGGGCUCUGGCCAGUUGCCUUUGAAGAUGAACUUCGUUUCCAGAUAGUUUUCACACAGGGCGGUAGGAGAUUUCUUACUGCUACACCUUCCACCCUAGCCCUGACCCUCGCCACCAGGCCGCCCAGCCAUAUUAGCUCAGAAGAUCCAUAAAGGGGCUGGAGCCCCAGUCCCCUCCCCUCUGCUUGAAGAUGUUAUUAAUUAGAGUUGUGCUAGGAUGCAGGAAUGACCUUGGGAAGGGGCACUUGGUGACUAAGCAAGAAUGGGCACGGGUGUGCUGACUCACCACACCCAGCUUGCAGGGGAGGCUGACUGAGGACCACCCUCAGGGUGACCUUGGAGGUCUGCAGGCUCAGCUCCCGCAUUGCCUAGUCCUAUACCUGUCGGGGAAAUGGUAACUUCGGAACUUAGUAGGCAGACAGUUUCUGGAGGUAACAUAGAGACAUGAAGGGGUACACUGAGCUGGUCCCCAAGGGGGCCCCAGGUGAAGGUCACAGCCCUUCCUUUUCGCCUACGGCUGAGUUCUGGGUCCCACCAAGAAUAGAACUCCCCUUCCUCGUUGGCUAUGAAAAUGUCUUAAUGUCUCUAAAUCCCAAGUUGCCUUAUGGCCACAGCCCUGCUUCCAACCUUCUUCUAAAGCAAGUACGUUAAGAGAUGGAGAUGUCGCUCAAUUGGUAAGGUGCUUGCCUAGCGUGCACAGAGAAGCCCUGGCUCCCUUUUGCAAUUCUUCAGAAACCAGGUGUGGUGGUGCAUUCUUGUAAUCCCAGUACUUGGGAACAUGUGGGCAGGCCGCAUCGGGAUCUGUUGUCUCCAGUGUACCGGACGCUGGCUGGAAAUUAGUUGCUAGGAUGUAAUCUGUGCUGAGUCUCUAGGACAGUGUCUCCAGUCGGACCUAGAAUGACUGUCCUGAGCCACAUUCAACAAGAAAUAGCACAAAGGGGUAGAAGAGACAGAGGUGGAGAAAGUGCAGGUUCUGAAGGGACAGAUGAAAGGUAAUCCAGGUUCAUUCUAAAGUGGGCAGGGCUUCCAGGGGCCUUCUCAAGACAUCAGUCUAGAGACCUGUAAAGAUCUACACCCUUGCUGAUCUUGGCAGCACACACCUGUAACCCCAGCAAGGCAGGGCACCCAAGAGUUCAAAGUCAUCCUUGGCUACAAAGUGAGUGUGAGACUAGCCUGGGUAUCAUAGUUGAAGUCCUUCCUCAAAACAAACAAACAAACAAAAGCUGUUUAGGCCCCGGGCUGUGUUUCUCAUUGCCCUACUCCCUGGUCUGAGGUUAUCGGCAGGGCUCCCAGCUGUUGAGCCAGCUGUGUCUUCAUUGAGGUCCCUGACUGGCAUUCUGUCAUCCCCCAUCUGUGUGAGAGGAUCUCUUUUUGGGUUUUUUGUUUGGUUGGUUGGUUGGUUUGGUUUGGUUUUUUGAGACAGGGUUUCUCUGUGUAGCCCUGGCUGUCCUGGAACUCACUUUGUAGACCAGGCUGGUCUCGAACUCAGAGAUCCACUUGCCUCUGCCUCCCAAGUGCUGGGAUUAAAGGCGUUCGCCACCACGCCAGGCGAGAGGAUCUCUUAAGUGUACCUAAUUUGCAAGUGCUCACAGUGACCUGUGGGUCCCAGGCAGCGACUCAUUGAAUCUUCUCAACAAGCUUUGAAAUAAGUCUUUUGUGGCCUCCUGUUACAACUGAGGGAGAUAGAUGUAGAGAGCUUCCCUCAGCUCUCUGAUCCACGCAACUCCUGAGUGGAGGAGCCAGGACUCAAAUCUGUAUCUUCCCUGCAUCCAUGACCUAAAAAGUCCUAGUGUUGGGUUGCAGGAGUUUCACUUACAUUUGCUAGGAUAAGCAGCCCGAUUUCUGGACUCUGUGGCCCUUUAAAAAUCCUGCUGCUUCUACAAUCUCUUCUUUAGCCUGCCCAAACCUAUCUAAUGCUUUACAGGAACAUGUGUGCCCGUGAGAGACAUGAGCUAAGGCAAUGAGAAGCUGUGACGCAGAUUCUGACACCAGCCCUCAGUACAUACCUUGUGCACCCCACAUGGUAUAAGGAGCUGGGUCUAGGUGCUAAGGCCAGCAGCUCACGGGCAAAGUGAGUCUCAGCCUGUAAAGAGAACAAGGCAGAUGUGCCUCCAGAGAGAAAAAAAGAACACAUGGAGAUGAAAUCCGGGCUUGGGGGCAAAGAGGAACCGUUUAAAUGUGUGUGUGCCUUGUGAAAGAAUUACACUCCCCGCCCCACCAUCACCAGAUGUGAUGACAGUACUUACAUAAGGUACUGUAUGUAGAUUGAACUCUGGACCUCACACAUUCUGGAAAGGGCUCUCCCACUAAGCCACAUCCCCAGCCCCUCACUGGGAUUCUGGGCAGGCGCUCUACUGCUGAGUCACGUCCCCAACUCUCUUUUGACUUAAUUUUGAGACUAGGUCUUACUGAGUUGCCUAGGCUGGCCUGAAUCUCACUCUGUAGCCCAGGCUGGCCUUGGACUCACAUUUUUCCCCCUGCUUAGCCUGCUGAGCCCCUGGGAUCAUAGACUUGCCUAGUUAUACCCAUUUGCUGCUGCAGCUAAUACCUUUAAACCAGUCUCCCCCCACCCCAGAAAACCUUCCUAGCUUAGUAUUAUCUUAAAUUCAGUGAAGAGAACAGCAGCUUUUCCCUGUUCCUCCACAUGAGGGCGCUACACCACUCAGCCAUGGGGUGAUGUGUUCAAGCCUCUCCCACAACCUUUAUGGGUGCAUUUCUUUUCUGUGUAUUCUCUAAUGAGAAGCACUGGGCCACCUCUGCAUGGUUUUUCUUGCCAAUUUCUCUUGUAGCCCUCUCUCCCAGCAGACAACCACAUUCAGCACACCCCUCACUUGUGCACUGCCAUGGCCGUCCGUUCCUUGUGACCAGCCAGAUGACUUAGAUAAUAGGGGAGUUUGAAAUGAAUGAGCUGAUACUAUCUGUAGGUUAGGAUUCUGACCAAAAGGUCUUCAGGGCUCUAGGGGAAGGGAUUAAUUGAAAUACCUUCCCGAGCAUAGGGCUUUUCUCCAGUGUGAAUUCUCUGACGUUGAAUGAGUUUCAUGAAUCUUGAAAGCCAUCACGUGGUCACUGUUGUUGGUAGAUUUCUGUUGUGCAAAAGUAGCCAGGGUGCUUGGAUGCUGGCUGCCUCCUCCCACACCCUCGGGACACUCUCAGGUGAAUGUUGGAGCAGUGUUAGGAAACUGCUUUGUGUUCCUAACAGUCGAUAUUGGUUCCUGCUGUUACAACUGUUACAAUGUUAAAUAAAUAAACUUGAUCCAGAC
rnacentral:lncRNA from 1 species